UACGAAGGGGGCUAGCGUUGCUCGGAAUUACUGGGCGUAAAGGGCGCGUAGGCGGACAUUUAAGUUGGGGGUGAAAGCCCGGGGCUCAACCUCGGAAUUGCCUUCAAUACUGGAUGUCUUGAGUUCGGGAGAGGUGAGUGGAAUGCCGAGUGUAGAGGUGAAAUUCGUAGAUAUUCGGCGGAACACCAGUGGCGAAGGCGACUCACUGGCCCGUUACUGACGCUGAGGCGCGAAAGCGUGGGGAGCAAACAGG
rnacentral:rRNA from 1 species